AUGGGGACGGGCACUGUGGGGCUCUGCAGGGGCAUCUGGACACCCCCAUGCUGGGGGGGGGUCCCAGUGUGGGUAGCCCCACAGGACGUGGGGACGUCUCCGGCGGUGCCCCGGUGGCGGUGGGAAGCUCUCAGCCGUGUUGGGGGCCACGUGUGGUUUGAGGCGCAGGGGACCCAGGGCCCACCCCGUCCCCCCGCCCCGCACCGGGUGCUGGCUUCCCCACUCUCGUUUCCGCUGGGUGACACGCAGCCCCGGCAGCGCUUCACCCUAACCCUCGCCCUCCCCGCAGGGAUGGUGCCGGGACCCUCGAGGGGUGCAUCCCUGCCGCCCCCCGCCAUGCCCGCCGCCGCCCUCCGCCUGCUCUGCGGGGUGGUGAUGCCGGCCGCCAUGCUCUGCGCCGAGCCCCUGCCCCGCGUCGCCUUCCCCAGCGGUGAGUACAGACCGGGCUGGGGACAAACCAGCUGGGGAGGGGGGGACAACGUCGGCUUGGGAAGGCACCCGUCCCCAGGGGGGAGCACCCAGAAUCAGGACCCCACAGGCCGCUCUCCAUCACAGCCUCCCCACCUCAGUAGCCCUCUUGGUAGCCCCGCGCUGGGCGGGGGCCAUGGGAUGGUGGCCGUGGGGCUGGGGACGGGGCUGGUGGGAGCAGGGCGAUGGAAAGGGCUAUGGGAGCAUUGUGGGUGCGGGUGGGAUGAGUCUGGUGGGCAUCCAAAGGGCUUUGGGAGUGGGAGUUGGGAGAACCUUGGGGUGCCAGCUCCAGCAGAGCGAUUUGGGGACCCCCCCUGGCACCCAGGGAUCUUGCUCAAGGCCACCCUGGGAGGGGGGAAAAGCUGCCCCCUCAGUGCGACGGGGCACUGCGUCCAGCCAAGUGCCAGGUGGCAGAGCAAGGGGUUUUGUGGUGGGACGGCGGCGUUGGGGCAGCAGGAGAGGUCUGUGCCCCCAUGGCAGGGCUGUGCCACCCCCGGCCCCUGCCCGCACCGCUACUUCCCCUUCCCCACGCAGCCAUUCUGA
rnacentral:lncRNA from 1 species